rnacentral:rRNA from 1 species
GAAUAGGGCGUUUAGUAUUUGGUCGUAGACCCGAAACCAGGUGAUCUACCCUUGGUCAGGUUGAAGUUCAGGUAACACUGAAUGGAGGACCGAACCGACUUACGUUGAAAAGUGAGCGGAUGAACUGAGGGUAGCGGAGAAAUUCCAAUCGAACCUGGAGAUAGCUGGUUCUCUCCGAAAUAGCUUUAGGGCUAGCCUCAAGUGAUGAUUAUUGGAGGUAGAGCACUGUUUGGACGAGGGGCCCCUCUCGGGUUACCGAAUUCAGACAAACUCCGAAUGCCAAUUAAUUUAACUUGGGAGUCAGAACAUGGGUGAUAAGGUCCGUGUUCGAAAGGGAAACAGCCCAGACCACCAGCUAAGGUCCCAAAAUAUAUGUUAAGUGGAAAAGGAUGUGGCGUUGCCCAGACAACUAGGAUGUUGGCUUAGAAGCAGCCAUCAUUUAAAGAGUGCGUAAUAGCUCACUAGUCGAGUGACACUGCGCCGAAAAUGUACCGGGGCUAAACAUAUUACCGA